UAGGGAAUCUUCCACAAUGGGCGAAAGCCUGAUGGAGCAACGCCGCGUGUGUGAUGAAGGGUUUCGGCUCGUAAAACACUGUUGUAAGAGAAGAAUGACAUUGAGAGUAACUGUUCAAUGUGUGACGGUAUCUUGCCAGAAAGGAACGGCUAAAUACGCGCCAG
rnacentral:rRNA from 1 species